UGCCAAAAUAAACGGAUGGGCUCUGGCUA
rnacentral:piRNA from 1 species